rnacentral:sRNA from 2 species
CGCUCCGUCAUUGGGGAGUAGCCGUCCCCCUUCGCACCAGUUGCGAUUGAGGGGAGACCGCAUCAACAGACUUGGAGCCGUCGCUGGUUCCAUGGUGCGGGAAGCCAGUUUCCGGUUUGGCGAGACCUUUGGCAUCGACGGCCGUCAUUCGGGUCAGACGGCGGGCUGUCGAUGUCACAGGUAUGUCCGCCGUCCG